rnacentral:rRNA from 1 species
AACGAACGCUGGCGGCAGGCUUAACACAUGCAAGUCGAACGCACCGCAAGGUGAGUGGCAGACGGGUGAGUAACGCGUGGGAAUCUACCCAGUCCUUCGGAAUAACACAGGGAAACUUGUGCUAAUACCGGAUACGCCCUACGGGGGAAAGAUUUAUCGGGAUUGGAUGAGCCCGCGUUGGAUUAGCUAGUUGGUGAGGUAACGGCUCACCAAGGCGACGAUCCAUAGCUGGUCUGAGAGGAUGAUCAGCCACACUGGGACUGAGACACGGCCCAGACUCCUACGGGAGGCAGCAGUGGGGAAUAUUGGACAAUGGGCGCAAGCCUGAUCCAGCCAUGCCGCGUGGGUGAUGAAGGCCUUAGGGUUGUAAAGCUCUUUUAGCAGGGAAGAUAAUGACGGUACCUGCAGAAAAAGCCCCGGCUAACUUCGUGCCAGCCGCCGCGGUAAGAC